GUGUGAAGAUGUGCCUGCUUCGCCUUCCAUCAUGACUGAAGUUUCCUGAGGCCUCCCCAGCUAUGCUCCCUAUACAGCCUGCAGAACGGUCGGCUGCCUCCAAUCCUGAGGUCAUCACUCAUCAAGAGGGGAUAAUCCCAGGGACAGCAGGAUCUGCUUCGUUACUUGGAUUUAGGAGCCAGAAACCCAUCAGGCAACUAAACAGUAACAAUGACCCGCCAUUAAACACACUGAGAGAAGAGCAUGAUGAAGAGUUUGUACAAGAAGAAGCCAGGAGCACUUGCUGACAAUGCUUACAGAGACGCAGGCUUCUAUGAGCUCUGCCUGUUGAACUGCAGUAAAAAUAGAUCUCCUUCCCCAGAGAGGCUUGGAUGUGGGCACAAUAUCAGUUCAGACGAUGGUCAAUGCAUGUACUUAAUAGAGUGAAAAGACUUUGGACUGUGAAGUCAGAUUACCUGGGUCUGAAUUGUUAUUCUUCUACUUCUUUGUAGUAUGCUUUCACCACAUUAAAAAUUGUCUGAGCCUC
rnacentral:lncRNA from 10 species